rnacentral:sRNA from 1 species
GUUUAGCCCCGAUAGAAACGGCAUCCUUUUAUGGUGGGGUUCACCAUAAAAGAUAUAGUGGAUAGCGGGACUUUAG